GGUCCAUAAUCCUUGGAGCGGCGCUGCGUCACGGCUCGCCCCGUCAGCAGGGGCGGUCAUGUGACCACAGGAAGGUGGGAGGGAGGGGGGCAUUACCUCCUUAUUUACAGUUGAGAAAAGUAAUGGAGGAAAAACCAAGGCGAAGCAAAUUAAAAGUGUUAGAUUUCCAAUGUUGGUGUUGUAUGUUCAAAAUCCAGUGUUAAUUCAACAACAUGAGCUAGUUUCCCUAAACAGUUGGUGUUAUUCCAGAGAGUUAAAUAAAAGCAAUUCUUUCUGGUGUUGAUUUCUAAAUUAACACCAAACGGUUCCUUCCGUAUUUGUGACGUCACGUGUUUCCCCGAGGAGCGGAGACAGCAGUAUGGCGUCUGGUCUGGAGCUUAUCGUAACAAGACACCCGGUCCAUGAGGAGGAGGAGGCGGAUCUGGAUCAUUCCGUCCGUCUGUCCUUCCAUCCAACAUGAGGAUCUGGGAAGAGCCGUUGAGACUCAGAGGGUCUUGGGGAUCGGAGGCAUUCUUUUCUACAUCCCCUCUUUUGCAGUUUCUGAAUGGAGAGAAGCAACCAGUUGGGGUGGGGGUCAGGAACGGAGCUCGGCCUCUUUUAGAGUCUGGGGCUCCUUGGUAGUGGGGGUUCCUGUUUGUCCUAGAGGAUGAAGGCCCGGUUCCGAUCUUUUCCCUUCCUCCCUCGUUCUGCUCUUUAGAUGCUUGUUGAAGGUUUGAGUGAGUAGUGCGGCCCAAUUAUCCACUUCUGGCUUUAGCCACGCCCCCUUUUGACCUCUGGACAGACCACAUACCACUUCCAUAUCUUGUUGAAAUGGCACCAUUGCACUCCAGAACGGAAGGGGGCGCUAUUUCCUGUAAUAGAGUUUCCCUUCAGUGAGGAGGAAGAGGAGGGAUGAAGAUGAUCCUUCUGGUUUUACAGAAACAUCUGGACAUUCAUGAAGCAAAUGUUUGAUCUCUCUAACCCUAACCCAGACGAAGAGGUCAAAGGUCACAGAGGAGCAGCCCUGCAGCCUGGAUCAGAACCAGAACGUUUACUGAGUGAAGUUUUUUUUCUAAACCUGAACAUGCAUGAAAAACAGAAACAGGGAUCAACUUGUGUCUGAUAAUAGGAAAGUUCCCAAAAUAAUCAGAUUUUCCUAAAAGACUGAAAUUUUUUUCAGUCUUUUUAUUUUAUAACUGAUUAUUAAUCAGAAUAAUAUUCAGAUUUUUCUGGAUUCAUUCAUUCACACUGAGAAUCUGGUUGAACAAAAAGCAUAUUUUAGAAACAUCACAAGGUUUUCUGACAAUAGUGGAAGAUUUGGGUCUAAAAUGUUUAAAGCUUGUUUAACUGUUGGUUUUAGAGUCUGAUUCAUAAGAGGCAUUGUAAUCAAAUAUAUUGUGAUCUCUAGAGUUAAAUAGUUUCUAAUUAAGUGAAACUUCAACUUUGUUUUUUCAGCCUGAGAUAAAUCAACAAUUCUAUGACUUAGUUGUAUUUUAAUCGUCUUAUUUGUUUUUAAUAGAAAUACUUUGAUCAGUUUCAGCUUUUCCCUUUUUUAAGAAGUAAACCGUUUGGAAACAGAUUAAAAUCAACUUCGGUCUGAAGCAACGAGAUAAAAAUCAGAUUUGAAAUAUUUAAGAGGUUAAUUUGGUGGUAGAAUAGGAAUGUUCUCUUGUCUUUCCCUUUAUGAGUGUUCUCAGAUUUAUAGAUCAUGAACCAUCGAUGAAAACUUUUCACUCUGAUUAACUUGAAAAGCAAAAUAAAUGUGAAUAACGCUUCAA